AAGAUAUUGGGCUCCAUCCAAAGUCCAACUCCAGGGAUUUGAAUCUUAAGUCUGCUUCUUCCUGCUUCUGUGACCUUGUUGCUAGUUGCUUGGCUAUUUUAUGCCUCAGCUUCCAGUUCCUUAAAGUGGAUGUGAUAAAGCCUAACUCUCAGGGUUGCUCUGUGGAUAAAGUGUCUGGCCUCUAGAGACGCUCUCUGAUGCUGACUCUUGCUGUAAGACAAGUUGGAACCCAAGGGGAGGUGGGGGAGGGUGGAGAGCAUUCCAGACAGACUCGGGGAGCUGCUGCACAAAGGCCGACAAGGAGAGCCAGGGGCUCCUGGAAACAGCCGCGUGUUCUGUAGACACAGCAUCCUUCAAAGCACAAAUGAAGCCGGAAGAGGCAGGGGCCUUGAAUGUCGUGCUCAGAAAUGUCAUCUUGAUCCUGGAGCCAAAUUCACAGCAUUUUAAGAGGCCUCAUCCUCCACCUCUCCCCUGGAAAAUGAAGCAAAGACAGAAUGAGAGCAGGAGGCUGAAGGAACAUGAAAACAUCAGAGAGCAAAUGUAUAUGGCCUGCUAGAUGCUACUAGGAGAGAGGUUUUCCCUCUCUGCUUAUCUUGGUGGAAUCUGUUUUCAUAAUAAA
rnacentral:lncRNA from 1 species